GGAGAUGAAUGCACGGCUCAACAAGAGUUUUCCAAUGAGGAGAUCGCUGCGAUUCAGAAAGUAGAAUCAAGUGUAAUGGCAGACCAGCAGGGUCAAACACGCAACGACAGAAAUCGUCCGGAAAGUGACCGACAGCAGGACCAAUACGUGCUGCAGAAAUUUUUCAGCACCAUCGAUACCAUGUUUGAUCAAGAGAUGUCUCAGCGACUGAAGCAGAAACUGCAAAAACUUGCUGACUGCAUUCAAGGAACUGGCCGCUCCGGAUAGGCAUGACAGAAGGCGGGACGCCAGCUGUAUCGAUUAUUUAUGGAGACACACUAUAGAGGCCUCACAGGUUUCGGUCCAAAUAAUUCCUUCAAGCAGUCUCGUUAACGCUCUUUCUACGCAGGCUUUACAAGUGCCCUUACAUACAACGGAAGGACUGCCCCGACCACAAAACAUGAUCACGUUGUAUACUCGUGCAAAAGAGAACUCUGGAUCAAUGCUUAUUUAUUCCGAAGAUAUAUGUGACUGCGCGGGCCUUUCAAAAGUUGUAGCGUUGCAUGAACAUUGGCGAUAAUUAAAGUACCUUUUUUAUGUUAUACGCGGGGAACACCGUGAACUUCAAUCCCGUUAGCACUGAAAUAUUUUCUUGGUAAGUCAUAUAUACUUGCGUCGAAUACACGAAUUAUUAAAUAAAUGAAUGAAUGAUACUAAAUGAAGUUUCAUGAUUGUCCAUGUGAAUCCUCCGAGACAACGGAAUAAAAAAAUGACUUUUGCUUUUGU